GAUGAACGCUAGCUACAGGCUUAACACAUGCAAGUCGAGGGGUAACAAGGGGAAAGCUUGCUUUCCUUGUUGACGACCGGCGCACGGGUGAGUAACGCGUAUCCAACCUGCCUAUAACUAGGGAAUAACCUUGCGAAAGUAAGACUAAUACCCUAUGAUUUCCUUUGAUGACAUCAGAUUAGGAAUAAAGAUUUAUCGGUUAUAGAUGGGGAUGCGUCUGAUUAGCUUGUUGGCGGGGUAACGGCCCACCAAGGCAACGAUCAGUAGGGGUUCUGAGAGGAAGGUCCCCCACAUUGGGACUGAGACACGGUCCAAACUCCUACGGGAGGCAGCAGUGAGGAAUAUUGGUCAAUGGGCGGAAGCCUGAACCAGCCAAGUAGCGUGCAGGAUGAAGGCCCUAUGGAUUGUAAACUGCUUUUAUACAGGAAUAAAGUUAGCCACGUGUGGUUAUUUGUAGGUACUGUAUGAAUAAGGACCGGCUAAUUCCGUGCCAGCAGCCGCCGCAG
rnacentral:rRNA from 1 species